rnacentral:rRNA from 1 species
GCGACGACGCUGGCGGCGUGCCUAACACAUGCAAGUCGAACGGUAACAGGUCCUUCGGGAUGCUGACGAGUGGCGCACGGGUGAGUAACGCGUGGAGUUACCUGCCCAUCAGUGGGGAACAACCUGGAGAAAUCCAGGCUAAUACCGCAUACGACCUUCGGGUGAAAGCCGGGGCUUCCUUCGGGAACCUGGCGCUGAUGGAUGGUUCCGCGUCCGAUUAGUUAGUUGGUAAGGUAAUGGCUUACCAAGACGAUGAUCGGUAGCUGGUCUGAGAGGAUGAUCAGCCACACUGGAACUGAGACACGGUCCAGACUCCUACGGGAGGCAGCAGUGGGGAAUUUUGCACAAUGGGCGAAAGCCUGAUGCAGCGACGCCGCGUGCGGGAAGAAGGCCUUCGGGUUGUAAACCGCUUUCAACAGGGAAGAAGGAAUGAGGGUUAAUACCCCUCUGCCUUGACGGUACCUGUAGAAGAAGCCCCGGCUAAUUUCGUGCCAGCAGCCGCGGUAAUACGAAAGGGGCAAGCGUUGUUCGGAUUUACUGGGCGUAAAGAGAUCGUAGGUGGCUUGUUAAGUCGGAUGUGAAAUCCCGGGGCUCAACCCCGGAACUGCAUUCGAUACUGGCAGGCUUGAGUUCGGGAGGGGUAAGCGGAAUUCCGUGUGUAGCAGUGAAAUGCGUAGAUAUACGGAGGAACACCUGAGGCGAAGGCGGCUUACUGGACCGAUACUGACACUGAGGAUCGAAAGCGUGGGUAGCAAACAGGAUUAGAUACCCUGGUAGUCCACGCCCUAAACGAUGUCUACUAGCCGUUGCGGGUAUCGACCCCCUGCAGUGGCGCAGCUAACGCAAUAAGUAGACCGCCUGGGGAGUACGGCCGCAAGCUGGCUG